AUUGAACGCUGGCUGCAGGCCUAACACAUGAAAAUCGAACGAGUUGCGGACGGGUGAGUAAUGUCUUGGAAACUGCCUGAUGGAGGGGGAUAACUACUGGGAACGGUAGCUAAUACCGCAUACCAUCAGAUGUGCCCAGAUGGGAUUCGCUUGUUGGUGGGGUCACGGCUCACCAAGGCGACGAUCCCUAGCUGGUCUGGGAGUAUAACCAGCCACACUGGAACUGAGACACGGUCCAGACUCCUACGGGAGGCAGCAGUGGGGAAUAUUGCACAAUGGGCGCAAGCCUGAUGCAGCCAUGCCGCGUGUAUGAAGAAGGCCUUCGGGUUGUAAAGUACUUUCAGCGGGGAGGCGUUACCCGCAGAAGAAGCACCGGCUAACCCCGUGCCAGCCGCCGCGGUAAUAC
rnacentral:rRNA from 1 species